rnacentral:rRNA from 1 species
UGAGGAAUAUUGGACAAUGGGCGCAGGCCUGAUCCAGCAAUGCCGCGUGCAGGAAGAAGGCCUUCGGGUUGUAAACUGCUUUUGUACGGAACGAAACGGUCCUGGUUAAUACCUGGGGCUAAUGACGGUACCGUAAGAAUAAGCACCGGCUAACUACGUGCCAGCAGCCGCGGUAAUACGUAGGGUGCGAGCGUUAAUCGGAAUUACUGGGCGUAAAGCGUGCGCAGGCGGUUUUGUAAGACAGGCGUGAAAUCCCCGGGCUCAACCUGGGAAUGGCGCUUGUGACUGCAAAGCUGGAGUGCGGCAGAGGGGGAUGGAAUUCCGCGUGUAGCAGUGAAAUGCGUAGAUAUGCGGAGGAACACCGAUGGCGAAGGCAAUCCCCUGGGCCUGCACUGACGCUCAUGCACGAAAGCGUGGGGAGCAAACAGGAUUAGAUACCCACGUAGUCCCUGAGCGGGCUGGCAAGGCGCAU